AUUGAACGCUGGCGGCAGGCCUAACACAUGCAAGUCGAACGAGUGGCGGACCGGUGAGUAAUGUCUGGGAAAAUGCCUGAUGGAGGGGGAUAACUACUGGAAACGGUAGCUAAUACCGCAUACCCUCAGAUGUGCCCAGAUGGGAUUAGCUUGGUGGUGGGGUAACGGCUCACCAAGGCGACGAUGCCUAGCUGGUUUGAGAGGAUGACCAGCCACACUGGAACUGAGACACGGUCCAGACUCCGACGGGAGGCAGCAUGGGGGAAUAUUGCACAAUGGGCGAAAGCCUGAUGCAGCCAUGCCGCGUGUAUGAAGAAGGCCUUCGGGGUGUAAAGUACUUUCAGCGGGGAGGCGUUACCCGCAGAAGAAGCACCGGCUAACUCCGUGCCAGCAGCCGCGGUAAUAC
rnacentral:rRNA from 1 species